rnacentral:rRNA from 1 species
CCUACGGGGGGCUGCAGUGGGGAAUAUUGCACAAUGGGCGCAAGCCUGAUGCAGCCAUGCCGCGUGUGUGAAGAAGGCCUUCGGGUUGUAAAGCACUUUCAGCGGGGAGGAAGGCGGUGAGGUUAAUAACCUCAUCGAUUGACGUUACCCGCAGAAGAAGCACCGGCUAACUCCGUGCCAGCAGCCGCGGUAAUACGAAGGGUGCAAGCGUUAAUCGGAAUUACUGGGCGUAAAGCGCACGCAGGCGGUCUGUCAAGUCGGAUGUGAAAUCCCCGGGCUCAACCUGGGAACUGCAUUCGAAACUGGCAGGCUAGAGUCUUGUAGAGGGGGGUAGAAUUCCAGGUGUAGCGGUGAAAUGCGUAGAGAUCUGGAGGAAUACCGGUGGCGAAGGCGGCCCCCUGGACAAAGACUGACGCUCAGGUGCGAAAGCGUGGGGAGCAAACAGGAUUAGAUACCCGAGUAGUC